rnacentral:tRNA from 1 species
GCCCGCUUGGCUAAGCGGUAUAGCGUGUCACUAGUAAUAACUUGACAUGACAAGGUGAUCAGUUCGACUCUGAUAGUGGGCA